GAUGAACGCUGGCGGCGUGCCUAAUACAUGCAAGUCGAGCGAAUGGAUUAAGAGCUUGCUCUUAUGAAGGUAGCGGCGGACGGGUGAGUAACACGUGGGUAACCUGCCCAUAAGACUGGGAUAACUCCGGUAAACCGGGGCUAAUACCGGAUAACAUUUUGAACCGCAUGGUUCGAAAUUGAAAGGCGGCUUCGGCUGUCACUUACGGAUGGACCCGCGUCGCAUUAGCUAGUUGGUGAGGUAACGGCUCACAAAGGCAACGAUGCGUAGCCGGCCUGGGAGGGUGAUCGGACACUAUGGGACUGAGACACGGCCCAGAAUCCUACGGGAGGCAGCAGUAGGGAAUCUUCCGAAAUGGACGAAAGUCUGACGGAGCAACGCAGCGUGAGUGAUGAAGGCUUUCGGGUCGUAAAACUCUGUUGUUAGGGAAGAACAAGUGCUGGUUGAAUAAGCUGGCACCUUGACGGUACCUAACCAGAAAGCCACGGCUAACUACGUGCCAGCAGCCGCCGCGG
rnacentral:rRNA from 1 species